AUGGCUCAAGAUAAUACCAAAUUGUGUGACUUUUCCAAUACCAACAAUAAUGAUUUCCUUAGCACUCCGAUUGCUCCUCUUAAUGAUGCUGAAUCUUGUGAAAACAAUGCUGCUUUGUUGAAUCUUGUUAUGAAAGAUCAAUUCUCCGGCCUUCCUAGUGAAGAUGCCGCUACUCAUCUAAAUAACUUUGUUGAUGUGUGUGAUAUGCAAAAGAAGAAAGACACGGAUAAUGAUAUUGUUAAAUUGAAGUUAUUUCCAUUUUCACUUAGGGAUCAUGCUAAAACUUGGUUUUCGUCUUUGCCUAAAAAUAGUAUUGAUUCAUGGAAUAAGUGCAAAGAUGCUUUUAUCUCUAAGUAUUUUCCUCCCGCUAAGAUCGUCUCUCUUAGAAACGAUAUUAUGAAUUUUAAACAACUUGAUCCUGAGCAUGUUGCCCAAUCUUGGGAAAGAAUGAAAUUAAUGAUUAGCAAUUUCCCUACACAUGGUUUGAAUUUAUGGAUGAUCAUACAAAAAUUUUAUGCCGGACUGAAUUUCGCUUCUAGAAAUCUUCUAGAUUCGGCCGCGGGAGGCACUUUUAUGGAAAUCACCUUAGGAGAAGCUACUAAACUCCUAGAUAAUAUUUUGAGUGGAAAGAUGGAUGAACUUAUGAAAUUGUUUGCUACUAAGAGUGCUCCUAUUGAUCCUAAUUAUAUGCCUUUGUCUACUUUGAUUGAGAAUAAUAAUGAAUCUAUGGACGUGAAUUUUGUUGGUAGGAAUAAUUUUUGUAACAAUGCUUAUAGAGGAAACUUUAAUCCUAGGUUGUUUCCUAGUAAUUCCUCUAAUAAUUAUGGUAAUUCCUACAACAACUCUUAUGGAAAUUUUAAUAAGAUGCCCUCUGAUUUUGAGAAUAGUGUUAAAGAAUUUAUGAUGUCUCAAAAGAAUUUCAAUGCUUUGCUUGAAGAAAAAUUGCUUAAAGUUGAUGAAUUGGCUAGAAACGUUGAUAGACUUUCUCUUGAUGUUGAUUCUUUUAAACUUAGAUCUAUUCCACCUAAGAAUGAUAUCAAUGAGUCUCUCAAAGCCAUGAGAAUUUCCAUUGAUGAGUGGAAAGAAAGAACCGCUAGGAUGCGUGCUAAGAAAGAUUGCUUUGUAAGAGCACGUUCUUCUAGUUUCCAUGAAAAUAAUGAUGAAGAUCUAAAAGUUAUUGAUGUGUCCCCUCUUAAAUCUUUGUUUGGCAAUAUGAAUCUUGAUAAUAAUGGGACUGGAGAUGAGUCAACUUUAGUUAAAAGGCGUCCCAAUGAUUCAGAGUUUUUAGAUCUUGAUACUAAAUUUGGUAAAAGUGGGAUUGGAGAGGUCAAAACUUUACAUAGCAUUGAACCCACUAUUAUGGAUUUCAAGGAAUUUCAUUAUGAUCAUUGUUCUUUAAUAGAUUGUAUUUCCUUGUUGCAAUCCGUGUUGAAUUCCCCUCAUGCUCAUAGUCAAAACAAAGCUUUUACCAAACAUAUUGUUGUUGCCUUGAUGCAAUCUUAUGAGGAAAAACUUGAGUUCAAAGUCUCUAUACCUAGAAAACUUUAUGAUGAGUGGGAACCUACUAUAAAAUUAAAAUUAAAUAUCAUGAAUGCUAUGCUUUGUGUGAUUUGGGUGCCAGUGUUUCCACGAUUCCGAAAACUUUAUGUGAUGUGCUAG
rnacentral:rRNA from 1 species